rnacentral:rRNA from 1 species
GGGGAAUUUUGGACAAUGGGCGCAAGCCUGAUCCAGCAAUGCCGCGUGCAGGAUGAAGGCCUUCGGGUUGUAAACUGCUUUUGUACUGAACGAAAAGCCUCUCUCUAAUACCUGGUUGGGAUGACGGUACCCAAAGAAUAAGCACCGGCUAACUUCGUGCCAGCAGCCGCGGUAAUACGAAGGGUGCAAGCGUUACUCGGAAUUACUGGGCGUAAAGCGUGCGUAGGUGGUCGUUUAAGUCCGUUGUGAAAGCCCUGGGCUCAACCUGGGAACUGCAGUGGAUACUGGACGACUAGAGUGUGGUAGAGAGUAGCGGAAUUCCUGGUGCAGCAGUGAAAUGCGUAGAGAUCAGGAGGAACAUCCAUGGCGAAGGCAGCUACCUGGACCAACACUGACACUGAGGCACGAAAGCGUGGGGAGCAAACA